rnacentral:tRNA from 1 species
AGGGGUGUAGCUCAGUUGGUAGAGCACCGGUCUCCAAAACCGGGCGUCGGGGGUUCGAGCCCCUCCACCCCUGCCA